GUUCAUCUCAACACUCUUAGUAAGAAUUGGCAAAAGAAGGAAAUUCGAUUUGCAAAAUUCCAAUAAAUAUGAACGUCCUGUUAAAACGCUUAGCUCCUACCACUCAACAAAUAAGUUCCUCAAGCAUGGCAACGGACUUCAGCAACUCAGACGCGUUUUUUCAAACUAAGCUGCACAGGUGAAGUGUAUCUGCAUCUUUCAAAAAGCUACAACAUGAACUCUCCGAUAUCUACCUUUGUUAUCAGCAAUUUGCUUCAUAACUGUAAUACAAAACUGCUCCCCCAUAAACUGGCGGCUACUUCUUUUUGCUGUUUGACCCUGAUACGGUACCUGAGUAUAUCUUAGACCUUGGUAUAGAUAAUUUAUGCUCAGCUUGUUUCUUUCUUUUCCUACUUCGCCUGGAUUGUUUUAUUGUGUCUCCGUCAGAUUCUUCUUGUUUCCUUUUCCUAUCAUCGGUCUCAGCUUCAACUUUUUCCUUAUUAUCAAACUUUGGCUUCUUGUCAGAUUUUGAUACAUCUUUCAGUUGCAACAAUUUCAAACGGGAUACCUUCCAUUCCUUUUCUCUAUAUGGCGCUAUCUUCUUCAAAGGGACAUACUGAUUUAACUCAGUAUCCUCCAUCAUUAGCACCUCCGCUGGAGCAAGCCCGAAUCUUUUAGCUUUGACAGGCCUAUACUUAAAUCUUGUCUUCAAAUCCCCAAUAGUAUCCUCAUAGUCCAAUUUAUAAUACU
rnacentral:misc_RNA from 1 species